GGCAAUUAUGUAAAGCAAGGGAGCCAAAGGGCAUCCCUGCCUUGUUCCAUUUCUAAUUUGAAAAAAAACAAACCAGUAGUAAAACCCGAGCCUGAAAUGUUUGCGGAUGGAUUUGAAUAAAUAGUCAUUACACUAUCCCUUAAUGAUUGCCCAAAAUUGGAAAUUCUCAGAGUCUUCUCCAGGAACACCCAGUUGACCCUGUCAAAGGCCUUUUCGGC